rnacentral:lncRNA from 1 species
AGGUAAGAAGGCUUCAAAGAGAAAAUGGAGUGUUUCCCAGAAUCAUUAUGCAAAGUAUAUGGAAGAACUUGCUCGCCAAGGUGAAUUGACUUUGGCGCGAAAAAUGGCGAAAUUUGAGGCUGAUAAAGCUAGACAUGAGGCAAAAGAUGCAGUUGUUAAGAGAGCAUUUCAAGCUAAUGAGAGAGCAUUUCAAACUAAUGAGAGAGAAAGAGAGCUACUUAGGCAAGAAAGGGAACAUGUUAGAGAAGAAAGAAUGGUUCAACGUGAUCGUGAAAUUAUGAACACGCCUUUAGAAGGGAAGUCUCCAAUUCUAAAUAUUUUUGGAAGUCGGAGAAAGCGGAUGUGAUGCGAAGGAGGCAUGCAAGAGAAGCGAGAGCAAGAGGAGAAGGUCCUAGCACGACAAGAGAAGAUCAUCCUAGCACCACAAAUUGAUAAAGUGAUGAUGAAUAGAGUACUUUUUGUAAUCAGAACCCAUAAUUUUCCAAUUACUUUGGGUUGUAAUUUAUUAUUUAUUGAAUAUAGUACUUUAUGUUGUUUCCAAUUUAUUGAAUUUAGUACUUUAUUUAAAGUGAGAGUAAAUUUAUUUAAUUUGGUAAUAUAUUUAUACUAAGAGAAUCUUUAUUCAAAUGAUAAAAACACACCAAAUAAAAUUACAUCAACAUACCAAAUAAAAAAAAAAACUCACUAAAUGAACUAAAAAAAAACACCACAUAAAAUUAAAUAAAAACACCAAAUAAAAACAAACACUAAAGGAACUUAAGUAUCUUCAGCUUGUUUCAAUUUGUCGGGGCAUUGUGCAUAUAUGGCCUUUGAAGUGCAAUAUAUCGUUGAAUGAGCCUAUCAUUGUAACGUCCAUCCCUUUCUAAUGGCUCGUGUUGCACGGGUUAUUCGAUGGCGUCAUGGGCACAAUAUAUUUGUGUUCUAGAAUUGUUCAUCGUAUCUGGCUCAUAUUCAUCAACGGCAUCAUAAUCGUACUCAUCUUCCACAAUCAUGUUGUGAAGAACGAUGCACGUCAUCAUGAUGGAUCGAAGUGACUCUAAAUCAAACAUUCUGGCAACACCCCUGACAAUCACCUCGCGAGUUUGGAGGAUGCCAAAACAACGAUCUACAUCCUUCCUGCACCCCUCUUAACAGCUUGCAAAGUGUUUUUCCUUUGCAUUUUGCGAACUUGGCACUAUUUUGACAAACGAUGACCACCUUGGA